GUAGGUGGCAAGCGUUGUCCGGAAUUAUUGGGCGUAAAGCGCGCGCAGGCGGUUCUUUAAGUCUGAUGUGAAAGCCCACGGCUCAACCGUGGAGGGUCAUUGGAAACUGGAGAACUUGAGUACAGAAGAGGAAAGCGGAAUUCCACGUGUAGCGGUGAAAUGCGUAGAGAUGUGGAGGAACACCAGUGGCGAAGGCGGCUUUCUGGUCUGUAACUGACGCUGAGGCGCGAAAGCGUGGGGAGCAAACAGGGAUUAGAUACCCUGGUAGUCCACGCCGUAAACGAUGAGUGCUAAGUGUUAGGGGGGUUUCCGCCCCCCUUAGUGCUGCAGCUAACGCAUUAAGCACUCCGCCUGGGAGUACGGCCGCAAGGCUG
rnacentral:rRNA from 1 species